rnacentral:rRNA from 1 species
AUUGAACGCUGGCGGCAGGCCUAACACAUGCAAGUCGAGCGGAUGAAGGGAGCUUGCUCCUGGAUUCAGCGGCGGACGGGUGAGUAAUGCCUAGGAAUCUGCCUGGUAGUGGGGGAUAACGUCCGGAAACGGGCGCUAAUACCGCAUACGUCCUGAGGGAGAAAGUGGGGGAUCUUCGGACCUCACGCUAUCAGAUGAGCCUAGGUCGGAUUAGCUAGUUGGUGGGGUAAAGGCCUACCAAGGCGACGAUCCGUAACUGGUCUGAGAGGAUGAUCAGUCACACUGGAACUGAGACACGGUCCAGACUCCUACGGGAGGCAGCAGUGGGGAAUAUUGGACAAUGGGCGAAAGCCUGAUCCAGCCAUGCCGCGUGUGUGAAGAAGGUCUUCGGAUUGUAAAGCACUUUAAGCUGGGAGGAAGGGCAGUAAAUUAAUACCUUGCUGUUUUGACGUUACCAACAGAAUAAGCACCGGCUAACUUCGUG